GACCUGGUGGUGUAAUGGUAACACAUCUGCUUUGAUUAACCACGAAUUGUUUCCACUAUGCAGGAGUCCCUUGUUCGAUUCAGGGUCGGGUCA